rnacentral:rRNA from 1 species
GAUGAACGCUGGCGGCGUGCCUAAUACAUGCAAGUAGAACGCUGAAGGAGGAGCUUGCUCUUUCCGGAUGAGUUGCGAACGGGUGAGUAACGCGUAGGUAACCUGCCUGGUAGCGGGGGAUAACUAUUGGAAACGAUAGCUAAUACCGCAUAACAGUAGAUAUUGCAUGAUAUUUGCUUGAAAGGGGCAAUUGCUCCACUACCAGAUGGACCUGCGUUGUAUUAGCUAGUUGGUGAGGUAACGGCUCACCAAGGCGACGAUACAUAGCCGACCUGAGAGGGUGAUCGGCCAACCUGGGACUGAGACACGGCCCAGACUCCUACGGGAGGCAGCAGUAGGGAAUCUUCGGCAAUGGACGGAAGUCUGACCGAGCAACGCCGCGUGAGUGAAGAAGGUUUUCGGAUCGUAAAGCUCUGUUGUAAGAGAAGAACGAGUGUGAGAGUGGAAAGUUCACACUGUGACGGUAUAUUACCAGAAAGGGACGGCUAACUACGUG